rnacentral:rRNA from 1 species
GACGAACGCUGGCGGCGUGCUUAACACAUGCAAGUCGAACGCUGAAGACCUGGCUUUUGUUGGGUUGGAUGAGUGGUGAACGGGUGAGUAACACGUGAGUAACCUGCCCUCUUCUUUGGGAUAACGCCCGGAAACGGGUGCUAAUACUGGAUAUUCACUGAUCUUCGCAUGGGGGUUGGUGGAAAGGUUUGUUCUGGUGGGGGAUGGGCUCGCGGCCUAUCAGCUUGUUGGUGGGGUGAUGGCCUACCAAGGCUUUGACGGGUAGCCGGCCUGAGAGGGUGACCGGUCACAUUGGGACUGAGAUACGGCCCAGACUCCUACGGGAGGCAGCAGUGGGGAAUAUUGCACAAUGGGCGAAAGCCUGAUGCAGCGACGCCGCGUGAGGGAUGGAGGCCUUCGGGUUGUAAACCUCUUUCGCUCAUGGUCAAGCCGCAACUGUGGGUUGUGGUGAGGGUAGUGGGUAAAGAAGCGCCGGCUAACUACGUG